AAAACGACUCUCGGCAACGGAUAUCUCGGCUCUCGCAUCGAUGAAGAACGUAGCGAAAUGCGAUACUUGGUGUGAAUUGCAGAAUCCCGUGAACCAUCGAGUUUUUGAACGCAAGUUGCGCCCAAAGCCAUUAGGCUAAGGGCACGUCUGCCUGGGCGUCACGCAUCCCGUCGCCC
rnacentral:rRNA from 1 species